CAAACAGCAUCACAUGCAGCUGUAGGCAGAUUCCCACAGGGCAGACAGAGGCAUGCUUUCUGUCAUCGGCAGGUCGACUGGGAAUAACACCUUCCAGGAGAGGAACGUUUGCCACCAGGGCUGCAGAAGACAUCGUUCCCAUUUCGCUUCAUGUGGUGUUGUCAUGGAGGCGUGGCCAAGCUGACAACUGACUAACAUCACACAUCUCUGGGAAGCAGUGAGGUCCAAAAAUACACCCGCUUCUGGAAAUCUUCGAGAUUGCCACUCAUCAUGCCAAGAAGCAAAUAAAAACCUUUGGCCGUACAGACCUUACGAUCAUACGCCUGAUCACAUCGACACAUCUCUGUAGCUUUAUUCACUCAUCUGGAACAUGAAGAAGAAUCUCUGACAAAUGUCCAAGUGAUUUAAACUUUGCCGUGCAGACUGAGGCACAGAUGCAGCAGACACAACAAGGGUAUUUUCCGCUGAAUAUCCUCGUUCAGUUCUGCAGUCUCACUCUUCACUCGAGAGCUUUGCAUAUUGGAGGAGUCCCUCUCGGCCUAAAAACCACAGGACUUCUUCUUCUCCGUGCACUCAGACUUCCUCUCUUAACAGCUGGCUCUUUGGCUAAGAGCCGUCAAGCUGGAGAGAGCUGUGCGAUGUUUCCUCCCGGCAGUGAUAGAGCUGCUCUCUAGAAUGGUUUCCCUUGGUGCAGGAUACGUCUCACUGUGUUUGGCAACCCAGGAGACGGGCAUCACAUCUGGUCCUCAGCUCUGCAGCGGCAGGCAGUGAGAAGUAAAUUCUCCUAAUGACGACCGGCUGGCCAGAGGCCCGAUCUGCCCCGGCCUGGAUGUAAAGCUCCACUCCUGCUCCAGUGGAGAGAGAAAUCUGGAGACGGGACCUUUCAAUGAUUUGUGAAACGGUGAACAUGUUUUGGGGCUUUUACUCAGUGAAAAUGAGAGAGACUUUAAACUGAACAUGUUGCUGUGUUUCACUGCACGCUCGUGACAUUUUGCCCCGUGACCUUGAAGACAAAUAACAUCCAGCAGUGUGAUGUAUUAGCUGUUGUGUCCAGACGGACAGUCGGCUUGAUAGAUGAUAGAAGCUGAAUGUCCUCCGUUGACUCUGUUAAUUAUUGAUACAGAUGUACGAUAUAACUUACCGUUCUGUACAUCCUCAUUGUUUGUUGUCUUUUUCACUUCAUGACUUCACUUCAUGACUUCUUUUAUAUCACUUUCUGACAUGAUUCUGCCCCUUACUGUAUAUUAUUGAUCUCCAUCCGCCAGUGUCUCCUCUGUAGCUUAAUUGGUGCAAUAUCUGUGUGGGCAUACCCUGAAAAUAGUUUGAGACAUGUUUUCAAUUCAAGUGCAUUGUUGUCAACCUUUUCACUAUCUCUGGUGACUUUUAAGACGCCUUGAGCAACAACUUUGUGUUGAUGUUGACUCGUCUCCCUCUCUGGACUGACUGUUUGGUCGACCAGUCAUCAGCUGUGGACACAGAGUGAGUUUGGAAAGUGCGUAUAUCUGAUCAACAGUUACUUUUUCCAAGGAUGAGUUUUUUUUUCUCAAAAUACAUGGAUUGAACAGACUGAGUCUAUUCCACUGAUUGAUGCAGUCUGUUCACUUCAGUUUCACAGUCCAGAUUACACUGAAGUCUAUAGUAAAAACAAAUUGAGAUGCAUAUUGAUGAGGUGAAUAUUAUAAUAGCUAAUCAAUAGAGAGAGACUGCUAACACCAGCUACACAGCCAUGUAGUAGUGAUGGAGCUGCUAGUGAUUAGUUGUAAUAUUAGCAAUUUAUGCUAACUUGUUUCUCAUUGUAAACAGAGGCGAGUUAUCUUAGCUGACUAGACUCUGUCUGUCUUUCAAGUCAAAUAUAAACGGACCUCUGAUCUGGAUCUGACUAGUGAAGCCAGUGCUGAAGUGCCUUUGACCUGUAUUUUUGUGUAUUCCUCUCACUUGAUUUAUUAUCUCAGUAAACAGUUUCCCUUUGAGUUUAUGGUCUUCAAUACAGCGUACUGUUCAUUUUGAGUAUUAUGGUCCCGCUGAGAGUGAAAUAGACGAUAAGCAGCGUUUGCCUCAGGGGGAGGAAACACUGAGAAACCAUGUCCUCGUGUUCUCAGUAGGAUCAUAUCAGGUUGUCAUCUCCAGCUCCACCAUCUUGUCCAAAUAAGUUCACUCUGGUCGCCCCCCCCCCAAAAAAAAACAAGAUGCUAAAUGUUAGUCCAAAAAUGAGUUGGUGACAUAGUAAGUUUUAAUUGUCAGCGAUACAACCAAAGCUGUGUGUGCUUGUUGAGAUAAAACAAAAUAACAUCUUGUAUGAACAGUGAUAGAUUACACAGCGCUAUGAUGUGCUCCAGGCAGCGGCGCACCACGGAAAUUAACAGCUCAUCUUCUAGCAAAGGCGGCUGUAAAAUAUCAGUCAACACCCACCCAGAGGCCUGGAGCUGAACGCUGCUUCCACAAUCACGUCUAAAAACAGUUCUAUCCUCUUUUUUUAAAAAAAGAAUACAUGUGCACAAUAGCUGCUGUGUCAUUAUCGCUCAUGUAUUCUCACACAGAACACGAGGAGAAUUAACAUUUCAGUUCAUCGUCAGAACUUGUCAGUGAAUAUUUUUUUGGUACCUGUUGAAACAAAGCACGCAGGUUGUUUUCUGGCAACAGAAACUUCAUUUUGUUUGUCAAAUAAACAUUAAAGAAAAUAUUAUCCUCCACGUCUGACGAGACAAAGAGGUCCACUUCCUCAAAAGAGCAUCUGACAUCAAAGACGUCGCCUCAGAACACCCACGGAAACAAACCAACAAAUCCUUCACAUCGUGCGAACAUAUAGACGCCGAACAUACAUCAGCCCCACAAACAGCGCAGCAGGAGAUCACUGACGGCGCUGUGCACCACUGCUGCUGCAGCCACGAGAUACAGAAGCUCAUCGCACUCUUUUUAAAUCCAUCUUGAGGAGAGAAAUGCAGCACUUCACGCCUCUCAGGCUCUGGAGCCACACCCCUGUUUCACUGUCAGUGGUCUGAGGGAAGUUGAAAUGGAGCUGCAGGGCCGAAUGUCUGUGUUUAACAGACGGUUCAAAACAUUCUGGACAGAAGUAAGGCAGAAUAAGAAUGAUGGACUGAAUUUGAUGUUGUAGAUGGUUUAAUGUCUGUGCUGUGCCUCUGGUAAACCAGGAGGAUGAACUGAAGACAUUGUUAGUAUGGUUAGACGGAUUAUUGGCUCGGGCUGAUUAUCAGGGUCGAUAUUCUGGCAGACUGCUGAUGAAAUUAACUAAUUUGAAAAUGUGCGACUUGAUGCAGCAUCCUCUCACAAAAUGUCCUGUAGACACAGUCUGGUAACACAUCACAUUUAAUAGCCUUUAAACACUGAAUUAACUAGUAACUAUAAUUAAGGAGCAAAAAAAGGAAAUAGUAAAAUUGAACGUAACCAUCUUCAGUAAAUUGUGCUCAUGUUUAUUUCAUCACUGUUUUUGACACAAGAUUGAAGAUUGUGGAAGGUUUUGGACUACGAUCGGCUCCAAAGCUCCCCAGUUUCACACAUUAAGUCUGAGAAUAGACUGAAGACUUUUUUUGUUAAAACCUUUUUUUGGCCCCUUGAGGAAUGUGAAUGUUUUUCCUCAUAAAUCCCAGUGACAGUUUGAUAGUUAGUGACACUCAGACAGACACAUUGCAGAUGGAUAUCAAGCCCUUUAACAGACUGUGUCUAGAAGAAUGUGUACAUGAAGUUCUGACUGACAAGUCUUCAGAAAAUCCAACUGUCUAAAACUCAGACACUUGAGGUUUGAGAAACUGUGUCUGAUGGAAUUUCACCUAAAAGUUGCUGAAUCAAGUUUGAUUUGAUUAGCAAAAUAGUUUUUCUGUCAAUAGUUACCAAUAAAUCAAACAAACAUGUGCAGCUCUAAAGUAAAAGUAGAAAGAAAAGUGGCUGAAUCUGUUGUUGUCUCCUCGGAGACAAAACAUGAAGUUGGAUUGGAUUUAUUUUUACCUUCUGGUAAGAGGAACCAGACAGACAGGAUGUGAGUCAGAUGUGAUUGGAGGAAGCUAAUCCCACAGGGCUCAGGUUGGAUUAUAUGUCUGAGAAUCAAAACACAACCGACUACUAUCCCUAAUAUGCUGGAGCCACUAUAGCAUGACACAAAUCAACACGGUUCCGUGUUUUCCUGAAUUUUGGGUCUGGCAGCGCCGGUGUAAAGCACAAAAUGUGUGUUGCGAGAGAGCCCUUGUUGAUAACUUUCCUGGCUGUUUCUGGGGUCGACCUUGAGGAGCCGUCCCUCUGCUGCCUUUUCGCAGCACACUGAACAGAAAAAGGACAGACAAGGCGCAUGCUAAGUGGAGGUGGUGGCUCCUGUCAUGGUCGACCUGGGCGCUAUCAGGACGGGAUCGGUCGGCUGCGUCUGGAUGACAGGACGCUGCUCGUGUCUCCGUCACUGCUGAGUGUCCACAGGCGUCCUCCCGGCCUCUGUGUCACAGCAGCCAGCUCAGCAUGACAAUAGGACGACUAAAGGAGACGAGCCGUCUGCUGUCAGCAUCCUUAACCACAUCCUGGGCCGCUGCCAUCACCAUAUGCCCAUGACUUUCCAAAAACUGCCCUCAAAUUUGACUAAAAACAUAUUAAAAAAAACAUAAUCAUAUGAAUUUUCUGCACCAGUGGCUCAAAAUGUGAGCCAACGAUUCACCAAAUGACCUUUAAAAAGUUCUGCUAUUUGCAUUGACGGGCGCCUACAUCACUGAUCUCCCUGAAGGUCUCCUCAACACUCGCCUAAUGAGCAAAAACCUUCGGACUCCCAUCUGUUGAGACAAACCGAGCCGAGGUGUGGACAGUGACAUUUACAUUACUGCUGAAGCCAUUUUAUACCAGAACGUCUUAAUGCUCAGUUCAAAAUACAGGAAGAGUGCUUGAAUGAGCUGCAGUGUGAUCGUUGUGUUGGGUUGUUGUGUAUCUGUCUCUCUGCCUGCCUCUUGCAGCCUGUUUUGGUUUUCUAUGUUGGAACAAUUUCUUUUCCACCUUGUUGGAUGGUUUUAGUGAGUUUGUAAUUUCUGUUCUGUUGAGUUUGAAUGAACUGGAGGAUAAAAUUACUGUUUCUGCAAACUGAGUCUGGCUGGAGCGGUUCAGUGGCUGUUUCUGGAUAAACAAAGAUGCAGAAUGCUGCUCGUCACUGGUGUGGACGCUUUUGUUCCAGCUGUGGAAUAUCAAGUAAAGCACCUUUGUUCACUGCAUUGAAGAUUUUCUUCCACUCAGGUGUGCAUGAAGAUGUCGGUUUCUAUUAUCAGGAAUUUUAUCGGUAUCAGCAUUGAGAGUCCGGUAAUUAUCGAUUGACGAUGGAAAGAAAUCCAUAGUGUGAAUCCCUAGAUUUGACUCUUUAACAACAGGAAUCUCUACAGGAUUCUUUCCUAAUGUUGUCAGACACUUGGAAUGACAAUAUGAUGUCAGGUGAAAAAUAAAUAAAUACACUGCAGCCCAUAUUGGUGGCUGCUGGCUGCAGCGGUCUAUACAGGACCAAUUUCAAAUAUUUCAUGGUUUUGUGUUUCAGUGUAGUCAGUUGCUGUUUUAUUUUGUAGGUUUCCUCCUCAGGUGUCAUCUUUUUCCUUUCUCUGUCUCUCCCCUGCUUGUUUUCUAUAUUCACUGCCUUGAGAUUUAAAUUCCUGGAGCUGAGGCCCCCAGGUUUGUCCCACCCAGGGCGGAAGCACCUGGUUGCCGGAGGCUGCAGUGUCGCGUGGCCUCGUGCCGAAUGUCGCUUGUAUAAAACAGCGUUCCUUGUGUUUCUUCUGUGUUUGCAAUCUUUGUUCCCAAGUCCUGUGUUUUCCCCUCACGUCUCCGCGUUCCUGCUGUUUGUCUUUCUGAAUUGUUCUCAGUUGAAUCCGUAGAUCUUUUCUGGGAUUUGCCCCAUCGCCUGCCAGUUUUGUUGUCUGAACUUAAGUUUUACAUUAUUCAAGCUCCCACUUGAACUAUUUCAACCUUGGUGACUUGCAUUUGGGUGUUUUUUGUUUUUGUGGAUCACCAGUCGUAACAACGUUGUCGUCUGUAUUAGUUGCUAAUACACAACAUGGGAAAACAGGGUCCAGGUGGAAAGUUGGCCUUUAUGAUGGUGAUCAUGACAAACAUUUCCUGCUUCACAUCAAGCAACCUGAAAACGAAGGAAGGGUCAUUACGUCACUGAAUCUUACUCUGGGAUCAGACUGUGGCGACUGCUGUACUGAAGUCACACUAAAACCAACAUACACUUCAGAGAGCUGCUGAACCACUGAGUGUCUUCAUCAGCACAUUGUUUGUUCUCCACAGAGACAAGGAACAGACUCAUGGUCGCAGUGUAACUGCAGUCAUAUCAGUGGAAAUCAGUCGGACCUGCCCCGUUUCAUCACAACAUUAUCACACCUGUCAUCCUGCUCUCAAGUGUUUUAUUUAAUUUUCUGGAGGCGUUUAUUCCUCAGAAGUCAUGUGAUGCAGAUGUGUUUGGUAUUAGUGUGUUUCUGUCACCACAGUCUGGCCUCAAAGCGACAGGCGGUGAUGUGAUGGACCCUCCUCCUGUCCUUUCUUUACAGCAUCAUGUUAGCAUUGUUACUGUGAGCGCGGUGACGUUAACCUUUAGUAACAAGAUGAAUCAAUAAUCACCCCUCAAAAGAAAAUAAUUUGGACAUUCUGCAAGUGUGUGAUUUAUUUGUCCCCCAUGUAAUUAAACCCUUUCUAUAUUUACAUUGUGCUCAUUGCAGCACAGCCAAUAGUCCAUUUUUCCAUGUAGGGACACUUCUGUCCCUGAGAGAAAAUCCAUUUCCUAACUGCUGCCGUCCUCCACUCAGAAGCACACUGAUUAUUCUGCAGGCAGAGAGCGAGCGAGCGAGCAGGCGGCAGAAUGCAGGAUGAGGACCUACAACCAGCACGAGGUGCAGCUCCACCAGUGGCCUCAAUCAGUCAUCAGGCUCCUCCGUACAGAUGGAGCAGAGAGGUGGUGCUGUUGGCAGGCCCGGCAACAUGAUUAAGGACCCGGCGGCAUGAUUACGCUCCUCGUCUUGUGAAUGGAAUAAUAGAGAGAGGCCAAGUCUGGUGCUAAAUUCUCCUGAUGGAGGCGAGACAAGCGUGUGUGGUGGGGAGGAGUCCGAGGCCCUCCCAUGUGACCGGGAGAAGAUAAAGGAUCGACGGUAGAUAAUUAACGAAGUGCCAGGACCUCUUUUCUCUUCACAUGGCUGUUUUAUUAAAGGGGAUUCUGUACGGAAGAAUAUUAAUAUAAACUACCAGCCUGUGUGACUCAGUGAUGAAUAUAAAUUGGGAGCGGUGGGGGGAGGAAUGCAUUAGGGGGCGUUUAUCCGGAGCGCUGUGGGGAGCGUGAUCAUGAGAACGGCGGCACCGAAGCUUUCGGCUCUGUUGAUCUCUGCAGAGGAACCAAACGAUGUCAUCAGCAUCAGAAGACUUCCACGUACAUCCAAACUGCACAUUACACUGCCGAUAGAAGGAAAAUCUUCUCACAUCCUUUACUGUUCUGACCGCUGCAGUCACUUUGCAGAUUAUCGAUUGAGGAUAUUGAUCCAUUGUUUAAAGAUUAAAGGUGCACUUUGUAGAUAUUUCAUGUCUAAAUAAACUAAAUAAACUAAG